GGAGCAGGGCGAGAGCGAGUGAGAGAGAAAACGAGUGGGAAAGAGAGAGAAAGGGAGAGAGAGAGAGAGACUAUCACGACCGGACGAAGAGGAUAUAUCGAUCGAUCGCUCGCAAACUCCUGCGAGCGAAGAAGUUCCUCCUUCUCCGUUCGAAGAAGACUUCUUCGUCGGUUCCCUCGGCUUCGAAGGGACGAACGGAUCGGAGAACCUUUCGUCUUCAGGUUCGCGAGGAUUCCGUCCGUUAGCGAGGAUUCGCGCCGUAUUAACCGCGUACGAUCAUCGUAAACCCCUCAUUCCCUCAUUUUACUCCUCCUUCUCCGUUUUUAGAUUUCUUUCUUUCUUGUAUUUCGUACGUGUAUUACCCCCACCCUUAUACUUCGGUCACUAUAAACUAACCAACCCUCCCACCCAUAAAGCGUUCGAGAUUUCGUUCGAAAAAUCGAAAAGAGAGGACGGAAGAGAGUAAUGUGCGACCCGGCGAAAAUCGAUGCUCCACCUCUGAACCUUCUUCGUCUUCGAGGAGCGCGGGAGCGCAAGGAAGACGGAAAUAUCGCGCGUUACUUUCGCGGCUCUCUUCGAAGGAGGAGGAACGUUGUCGUAUCCGUAGCUGUAUCCGUUGCCGUGCGAUACCUCGCCGAAAGCUAGUUCGCCGAACGCCGAAAAAAUCGAGUGAUUUUCUAGGAAAUACAGAAAAACGAAAAAGGAUAUAGGAAUCAAUAAAGCUUGUUGUUUUGGUUAAACGUAUUCAUGUUCUUGCCGGCGGUAUACGGCAAAGGACGUUCUUGUUUUUAAUCGGAACGCACGUUUUUCCACACGCGCGACAGAAAGAGAGAGAGAGAGAGAGAGAGAGAGAGAGAGAGAACAAGUGAGGAGCAAGAGGAGACAAGAAGAGAAGAAGAGAGGAGAGGUGAGAGAGAUUAUUCGAUCGUAGCAGGCCCGUCAUCAUCAGUAGUGUCGUCCACGGCGCGGAGUCUAGAGUGUUACCGUAAAGAGCGAAACCGCGAGAGAGAGAGAGAGAGAGAGAGAGAGAGAGAGAAAGAGAGAGAGAGAGAGGGAUGCUACUCGCGAUCCUUCUCGCGAUCCUAUUCCCGUGAACCCGACGUACUACUUACGAAAACCGAGCACGAAGUGGAACGACGUUCGCGAUCGAUGUUUCUCUUUUUUCCGUGAAGUCGCUUCUUGUUUCUUCGUUAUAUGUAUACAUAUAUAUAUACAUAUAUAUAUAUAUACAUAUAUAUACAUAUAUAUAUAUAUAUAUAUAUACACAAUUCUUCUUUGAGUUUACUUCCCUUAUCUUCGAUCUCGAUCAUCAACCACGGGAGAAGUGUCAAGUGUAACGGUGAAACGGUAACGGUGCGUUAACGCUCUUAUUUAUUAUUUCAAAGUGAUAAGUGAGAAAAAGAAAGAAAUAAAAAAAAAGAUAGUAGGAACGGGUGAAUAGAUAGGUGGGGAUGGAGGGGAUUGAGAAGGAAAAGAUAAAGUUCGCCGAGUUUGAGGAUAACAAUGACGAGGAUGAUUAUGAUGACGACGACGACGACGAUGACGACGAUUAUGAUGAUGAUGAUCAUGAUGAUGAUGAUGAUAGUGAUGACGACGAUGACAAUGAUGAUAAUGGUAACAACAUUGAUAACGAUGACAACGACGAUUAGGAGAACGACGGAAAGAGACACAAACGUUUGAGUAACUACCAGCGCACGAGUUGGGACGACGCUCUCAACUUCCGAGAACGAGUUCGCUUUUUCCAUACGCAAAAACUAACUGAAAAGCGAAAAACCGCGUGGAACGGAGGAAUAUGGCGGCGACGACGGUGUACUACUGCCUCGAUCGACGAAAAUUUUUCUUUUUCUUUUUUUUUUUUUUUUUGUUUUGUUUCGUUUUAUUUUUUUCUUUCUGUCUUUCUUUCUUUUUUUCUAAUCUCUAAUUUAUUUCCACCCCUUAAAUUUUCCUAAAAUCCCAUCUUUUUCAUUUCUUCUUUACACGUUUUCGUUUCUUUCCUUUUCUUUUUGGAGGAUUUUUUUUCUUUUAUAACCUACCAGAGACACACACAUAUAUGUAUGUAUGUCGUACGAACGAGACAGUUUUUUCUCGUCGAUACUUCCACACGUUGCUUCCUUCGUCUUGUCGGCCGUCUUGUUGCAUCCGUUGAUUUCCCUGUUGGAAUGCGUCGGAGUGUCGUCGUUACUAACUCGAAAACCGACACGAGAUAUUGAGGAUCGACCAAUAGGCACGACCCGUGGCAGGGUCCUACGGAACGAUCGAUCGAAUAGGUGCCAGAAAGAUGGCUGGCGGGGAGGGAAGCUGCCGGCUCCGAGAGAGAGAAAGACAGAGAGAGAGAGAGAGAGAGAGAGAGAGAGAGAGAGAAAGGGACGGGGGAAGGGAGAGGAGAAGUACAGAGGAACGUUGCAGUGCAACGGAAAUGGGAGCCAUCCUCUCUCGUCGCACUGACGAGUUUCUCCAAAACAAUAUGUAUUUUCAUGAUAGUACAUAACGAUGAUAAAGGACGAACCGCGAACGAUGAACAAGUACGCGUCUUCGUGUAAAUAACUGUUUAUUUAUAGAUGUACCCAUAUUUUACGUUUCGUUAGUCUCAUAGAACUUAUAUUUAUUCAUUGUUUUCGAAAGAUCAACAUACUGUCGUGCUUAACAUAUUCGUUUUCACUUAAUUUAAUAUCGAAAUACUUUGAUAGAAAUUUUCAUUACAUUUCAUUACAUACUUUUAGAUGUUCGAUAUUGAUCGAUGAUAUAAUUAUAUUGUCACUUGUAUCUUUUUUCUUUCUUUUCUUUUUCUUUUUUCUUUUGGACCGAAAGAGAGGAAAAAAAAGAAUUGAUCUAGCUAUCCCUUCUUUCGACCAACUACUUGCGAGCAACCCCUUAGAUACGAUCCCCGAAACGAGUCUAACCUACCUGAACCUCACAAUGCGUCUUUGCAGAUCGUUGGAGAGGGAAAACAGGAUAGGCGAUAUGUUGACGCAUGAAUUUGCAAGAUGAGAAAAAGAGAGAGAGAGAGGGAAAGAGAGAGAGUAUAUGUAUGUGUGUGUGUGUGUGUGUGUAUGUGAGAGAGAGAGAGAGAGAAAGAAAGAAAAUAAAAAGAAAAAAAUAAAAAGAAGAUAAAAGAAUGGUGGACAUCAAGGUUCUCGCCCCUUUUUCUAGGCCCCCACCAAGGAUCAUGUCCCGUUGGUCCCCGUGCUAUACCUUUCCCUCUCUUAAAAUCCUUACACCCCCUUUUUUAAGGUGGCCAGCUGCAGGGUCAGUUUUCGACGGACGCGCGCCGUAUUAAGAUGUUACGUUCAAAAUUUCUCAUUGAUCGAUCACCGUAUUUCCGUGAUUUUCGUGAUCUUCGCGAUCGUAAAAUUAAUCGUGCGAUAGAAGAAGAAGAACAACUAAGAUCUUAGUUGAGAGAACUCAAUGGACGAAGAGGAACGAUACGCUUUCGUGAGAGAGAGAGAGAAAGAGAGAAAGAAGGAAAGAGGAAAGAGAUAAAGAGUGUGAAGACACAUCGUUGGAUCGUUUCUGCA